rnacentral:rRNA from 1 species
CAGUCGCCGCGGGAAUACGAAGGGGGCUAGCGUUGUUCGGAAUUACUGGGCGUAAAGGGCGCGUAGGCGGCCAUUCAAGUUAGAUGUGAAAGCCCUGGGCUCAACCUAGGAAUUGCAUUUGAUACUGUUUGGCUUGAGUUCGGGAGAGGUGAGUGGAAUUCCCAGUGUAGAGGUGAAAUUCGUAGAUAUUGGGAAGAACACCAGUGGCGAAGGCGGCGACCUGGUCCUUGACUGACGCUGAGGCGCGAAAGCGUGGGGAGCAAACAGGAUUAGAUACCCGAGUAGUCCCUGUCUCUUAUAC